GAAAUAUUUUUGUAGGAAAAGUAGGGUGGAGGCUAGAUUGAGAGGUGCUCCAUCCCGUUUGAAUUUUUUAGUUUGGAAUGAGACUCUUCUAUUGCAUUUUUAUUUACUUAUUUUUCUUUUUUUAUUUCUUUUUUAUUUUCUUCCAUCGUUCCUUAACUCCCACAAAGUUUGAAAGUCCUAACUAGAGGUGUGUCCUAGACUCCUAAUACUGCCACUUUUAGAUUGGAAGCUGACCUACGUAAGGAGUAUCUAUAGAUUCUUGAACACUAAGAAUUCUUGUGGUUUCAAAAGUUCAGGGAGCUGAGUGAAAUUUAGAGAUCUCAAUAACAGGUGCUGGUGUUCUUACUGCACCAGUUACUAAAGAGGAAGUCAGAACUGCUAUCAUGGGAAUGAUAUCCUAUAAAGCUCCUUUUCAGAUGGUUUCAACCUUUUUAUUAUUAAAGUAUUGGGAUAUUGUUGAUACCGACAUGGGGAGGAAUUGAGACCAACGAACCUCUGAAAUGUGGUGUACAAGAUCAUUGCUAACGUUGGUGGACAUGAUGUUGGUAGAUUGCAUAAGUUAAUGGUUAGCAAACGUGAAAGCUUGGAAUAUAAAUGAUUGGGAACAUCUUCAAGCAGUUUGUUAAGAAGCAGGUAUAAUGUUAUCCAUGCAUGCAAUUCAAUGAUAAGAAGCAGGUAUAAUGUUAUCCAUGCAAUUCAAAAUGAGCAAGGCGACUGGAGUGAUGAUCUAGACCUUUCAGAGGAGGAGAUUUCUCUUUUUCUUCAAGAACCUAUAUCUGGAUAUGAGGGAUGCUCUAACCUUCUCUUUAGUUAGCCACUUUCCCUGUCUGGAUGAGACAACAAAGAGAAGUUUUACGUAGGAUAUAUCUAAUUCGGAGAUAAAUCAAGCUCUUUUCAAAAUGUGCAGCUACAAGACUAUGAGAACAUGGUUUUCAACUUGGGCAAUUUCUCCCUGCACCCUUCCAAUUGCCCCAUACAGCCAUCAUAUUUUAAAAAUUCUUAAGCUAUCCUUCCCUCUCUCUUCUCUGCUCACUUAUUCUUUUCACACUUAUCACUUAUAGUCUUCGAAACACAUUCUGGAUGUGUUUUUAUCUCUCUAGAAUAGGUAUUUCGUGCUGUUAGAUAUGUACUCAAU